GAACAACCAAACCUGCCCCUACUGUUUCGAGUGUCAGUGCCUCCACAGCUGAUGAUGCAGCAGGUUCAUCCACUGCACAAGCGACAACAAGGGAGGAGCACUUACAUGUGACUGAAAGCGAGGAGCAGUUACAAGCACCUACAUUUACUGAUCCACUGGUUUCAAACUCAGCCGGCAUGACAGGUCCUUCUACAUCUGCACCCACUGCUAUAGAUUUCCCAC